UCGAGUUUUUCGCAUUUUGUAUAGACUAAUCGAGUCUAUACCGUUUCUAUAUUUAAAAUAAACUUUCUUUUACUGAAGAAAAUUUUUACAUAACUGAAAAACAAUUUUCAGUUUGAAAAUUAUAUCAUCACUAUUUUUUGUCUUAAAAGGUUAUUAACAAUUUACAAACUAUUUUUGCAGACACGUUAAUUCUAUGUUAUCUGAUCAUAGUACCAAGGAGUCAGAAAUAAUUUAUUAACUCAUUUAAAUUCCCUCUCUGAAUUCAUUUUGAAGGGUUUCAUGUUAUACUAUUAAUAGUGACGUAUUUUAAAAUGUAGCGCCUAUUACGUCUAACAAAAUGAUUUAUAGACACAUUAUUUAACGAAAAAAUGUCUUUUAAUAGUGAGAAAAUAUACAACAAAUACCAUUUAUUUAAAUUCUUUGAAUAUGACAAUACAUAUUACCAGUUAAUCGGACAUAAAUUGUGAAUUGUAUGUGAACUUCUACGGAUCAAAUUAUUACUACAUUGCAUAUGACAUUUAAUACGUAAUACUAUUUUGAAUUAACAAGAAAAUGCUUCUUUCAAGUUCUAUUGUAUAGUAAAAAAGUUAAAUUGUUUUAAAAGAAAUAUCCAGACUAUUUUUAAAAUUAUUUGUGUAAUGAUUUGAAUGGCAAAGAAAUAUGGGGAUUUCCGUACAAAUGAUGAAGUAUUUUUAUGUUUAAAUUACGUCUUUAUCUCGAACUCUUGAUAAUUGAGGUCAAUAAUUAAGAAGGCAGAAGCUCUGGAACUUAUGGUAUUCAAUUUAUAUAUCUUAAAUCAAAUCAAAUUAUUAAUAACAAUAAAUGUUGAAUACAUGAAUUUUUUUCAAACAUUUAUAAACUUGACCAAAGUUAAGUAGAAUGCGUUUUGAUAUUAUACUCGGAUAUGAACCACCGCAUUCGUGAUUCGUUAAAAAAAGUACUAUAAAAAUUCACCUCUAGUCACGAAGUUCCAUAAUCGAAAACGGCACAAUUAUACGAUAUUAGCGUAUGCGAGAUGACUAUUUUAUUUAAUGUUAACGUGCAAGUAAUUAAUUUGCGUCUGAAUUCAUAGAAAAUUAUGCAAUUAAAAUGGUAAAGUGUACUUCACGGCUUGUAAAAAAUAUUACGCAGGUAUAUUGCUGUUAGCGUAUGGGGAAAUUGUGGAAAAAAAUACAUCCGUUUGUGCGUUACCUGCACGUCGAAUGGGUUAAACAGCGGCGGCAGUAUUUUUGAUGAAAAGGGACUGGGAGGUAUAAACACG